UACGAAGGGGGCUAGCGUUGCUCGGAAUCACUGGGCGUAAAGCGCACGUAGGCGGAUUUCUAAGUCGGGGGUGAAAUCCUGGAGCUCAACUCCAGAACUGCCUUCGAUACUGGAAAUCUCGAGUCCGGGAGAGGUGAGUGGAACUCCGAGUGUAGAGGUGAAAUUCGUAGAUAUUCGGAAGAACACCAGUGGCGAAGGCGGCUCACUGGACUGGUAUUGACGCUGAGGUGCGAAAGCGUGGGGAGCAAACAGG
rnacentral:rRNA from 1 species